rnacentral:rRNA from 1 species
AGUGAACGCUGGCGGUAUGCCUAACACAUGCAAGUCGAACGGUAACACAGCAACAGCUUGCUCUUACGGGUGGCCGGUGGCGUAAGGGAGAGGAAAGCAACCGAACCUACUUUUUCGUGAGGGCUAAGGUAGGGAAAUUUACGCUAAUAUCGCAGAAGGCCUACGGGGGAAAGCAGGGGAUCUUCGGACCUUGCGGGAUUGAAUGAGCCGAUGUCGGAUUAGCUAGUUGGCGGGGUAAAGGCCCACCAAGGCGACGAUCCGUAGCUGGUCUGAGAGGAUGAUCAGCCACACUGGAACUGAGACACGGUCCAGACUCCUACGGGAGGCAGCAGUGGGGAAUAUUGGACAAUGGGCGCAAGCCUGAUCCAGCCAUACCGCGUGGGUGAAGAAGGCCUUCGGGUUGUAAAGACCUUUUGUUGGGAAAGAAAAGCAUCAGGCUAAUACCCAGCGGUUCUGACGGUACCCAAAGAAUAAGCACCGGCUAACUACGUG